CUUCACCGCCCCCAACCACAACGGCCAACCCUCCACCGCCCGCUCCUGACCGUACGUCGCCAGCAACGCCUGCGCCUC
rnacentral:antisense_RNA from 1 species